AGUAACGCGUGAGGAACCUGCCUUUCAGAGGGGGACAACAGUUGGAAACGACUGCUAAUACCGCAUGACACAUUGAAGCGGCAUCGCUUUGAUGUCAAAGAUUUAUCGCUGAAAGAUGGCCUCGCGUCUGAUUAGAUAGUUGGCGGGGUAACGGCCCACCAAGUCGACGAUCAGUAGCCGGACUGAGAGGUUGAACGGCCACAUUGGGACUGAGACACGGCCCAGACUCC
rnacentral:rRNA from 1 species